rnacentral:rRNA from 1 species
CCUACGGGUGGCUGCAGUGAGGAAUAUUGGUCAAUGGGCGUAAGCCUGAACCAGCCAAGUCGCGUGAGGGAUGAAGGUUCUAUGGAUCGUAAACCUCUUUUAUAAGGGAAUAAAGAGUGGGACGUGUCCUGUUUUGUGUGUACCUUAUGAAUAAGGAUCGGCUAACUCCGUGCCAGCAGCCGCGGUAAUACGGAGGAUCCGAGCGUUAUCCGGAUUUAUUGGGUUUAAAGGGUGCGUAGGCGGCCUGUUAAGUCAGCGGUGAAAGUCUGUGGCUCAAACAUCGAAUGGCCGUUGAAACUGGGAGUCUUGAGUAUGUUUGAGGUAGGCGGAAUGCGUGGUGUAGCGGUGAAAUGCUUAGAUAUCACGCAGAACCCCGAUUGCGAAGGCAGCCUGCCAAGCCAUGACUGACGCGGAUGCACGAAAGCGUGGGGAGCAAACAGGAUUAGAUACCCUAGUAGUC